GACAGAGGUGCCAAGCGUUAGGCGGAAUCACUGGGCGUAAAGCGCGUGUAGGCUGACCGGAAAGUCGGGCGUGAAAGCCCUGGGCUCAACCCAGGAACUGCACUCGAAACUCCCGGUCUAGAGUGGUGGAGAGGGAAGUGGAAUUCCUGGUGUAGAGGUGAAAUUCGUAGAUAUCAGGAGGAACACCAGUGGCGAAGGCGGCUUCCUGGACACCAACUGACGCUGAGACGCGAAAGCGUGGGGAGCAAACAGG
rnacentral:rRNA from 1 species